rnacentral:rRNA from 1 species
CAGUAGCCACGGUAAUGCGUAGGGCGCAAGCGUUAUCCGGAAUUAUUGGGCGUAAAGAGCUCGUAGGCGGUUUGUCGCGUCUGCCGUGAAAGUCCGGGGCUCAACCCCGGAUCUGCGGUGGGUACGGGCAGACUAGAGUGAUGUAGGGGAGACUGGAAUUCCUGGUGUAGCGGUGAAAUGCGCAGAUAUCAGGAGGAACACCGAUGGCGAAGGCAGGUCUCUGGGCAUUAACUGACGCUGAGGAGCGAAAGCAUGGGGAGCGAACAGGAUUAGAUACCCCUGUAGUCCCUGUCUCUUAUAC